GAAGGUGGCCUGUGAGGGUUGCUGGAGGUAUCAGAAGUGCGAAUGCUGACAUAAGUAACGAUAAAGCGGGUGAAAAGCCCGCUCGCCGGAAGACCAAGGGUUCCUGUCCAACGUUAAUCGGGGCAGGGUGAGUCGACCCCUAAGGCGAGGCCGAAAGGCGUAGUCGAUGGGAAACGGGUUAAUAUUCCCGUACUUGGUGUUACUGCGAAGGGGGGACGGAGAAGGCUAUGUUGGCCGGGCGACGGUUGUCCCGGUUUAAGCGUGUAGGUGUGUGUUCCAGGUAAAUCCGGUUCACUUUAACACUGAGGCGUGAUGACGAGGCACUACGGUGCUGAAGCAACAAAUGCCCUGCUUCCAGGAAAAGCCUCUAAGCAUCAGGUAACAUCAAAUCGUACCCCAAACCGACACAGGUGGUCAGGUAGAGAAUACCAAGGCGCUUGAGAGAACUCGGGUGAAGGAACUAGGCAAAAUGGUGCCGUAACUUCGGGAGAAGGCACGCUGACAUGUAGGUGAAGUGAUUUACUCACGGAGCUGAAGUCAGUCGAAGAUACCAGCUGGCUGCAACUGUUUAUUAAAAACACAGCACUGUGCAAACACGAAAGUGGACGUAUACGGUGUGACGCCUGCCCGGUGCCGGAAGGUUAAUUGAUGGGGUCAGCGCAAGCGAAGCUCCUGAUCGAAGCCCCGGUAAACGGCGGCCGUAACUAUAACGGUCCUAAGGUAGCGAAAUUCCUUGUCGGGUAAGUUCCGACCUGCACGAAUGGCGUAAUGAUGGCCAGGCUGUCUCCACCCGAGACUCAGUGAAAUUGAACUCGCUGUGAAGAUGCAGUGUACCCGCGGCAAGACGGAAAGACCCCGUGAACCUUUACUAUAGCUUGACACUGAACAUUGAGCCUUGAUGUGUAGGAUAGGUGGGAGGCUUUGAAGUGUGGACGCCAGUCUGCAUGGAGCCGACCUUGAAAUACCACCCUUUAAUGUUUGAUGUUCUAACGUGGACCCGUAAUCCGGGUUGCGGACAGUGUCUGGUGGGUAGUUUGACUGGGGCGGUCUCCUCCUAAAGAGUAACGGAGGAGCACGAAGGUUGGCUAAUCCUGGUCGGACAUCAGGAGGUUAGUGCAAUGGCAUAAGCCAGCUUGACUGCGAGCGUGACGGCGCGAGCAGGUGCGAAAGCAGGUCAUAGUGAUCCGGUGGUUCUGAAUGGAAGGGCCAUCGCUCAACGGAUAAAAGGUACUCCGGGGAUAACAGGCUGAUACCGCCCAAGAGUUCAUAUCGACGGCGGUGUUUGGCACCUCGAUGUCGGCUCAUCACAUCCUGGGGCUGAAGUAGGUCCCAAGGGUAUGGCUGUUCGCCAUUUAAAGUGGUACGCGAGCUGGGUUUAGAACGUCGUGAGACAGUUCGGUCCCUAUCUGCCGUGGGCGCUGGAGAACUGAGGGGGGCUGCUCCUAGUACGAGAGGACCGGAGUGGACGCAUCACUGGUGUUCGGGUUGUCAUGCCAAUGGCACUGCCCGGUAGCUAAAUGCGGAAGAGAUAAGUGCUGAAAGCAUCUAAGCACGAAACUUGCCCCGAGAUGAGUUCUCCCUGAGACUUAGGGUCUCCUGAAGGAACGUUGAAGACGACGACGUUGAUAGGCCGGGUGUGUAAGCGCAGCGAUGCGUUGAGCUAACCGGUACUAAUGAACCGUGAGGCUUAACCUUACAACGCCGAAG
rnacentral:rRNA from 1 species